rnacentral:rRNA from 1 species
GCAUGAAGUUGGAAUCGCUAGUAAUCGCGGAUCAGCAUGCCGCUGUGAAUACGUUCCCGGGCCCUUGUACACACCGCCCGUCACACCAUGAGAGUCGGGAACACCCGAAGUCCGUAGCCUGACCGCAAGGGGGCGCGGCCGAAGGUGGGUUCGAUAAUUGGGGUGAAGUCGUAACAAGGUACC